UCGGCGAUAGCUCAGAGGUAGAGCACCGAACCGGUAAUUGGUACGUCACGGGUUUGAUUCCCGUUCGAAGGG
rnacentral:tRNA from 1 species